rnacentral:rRNA from 1 species
GAUGAACGCUAGCGAUAGGCUUAACACAUGCAAGUCGAGGGGCAGCAUUAUUUUAGCUUGCUAAGAUAGAUGGCGACCGGCGCACGGGUGCGUAACGCGUAUGCAACCUGCCUGUAAUUAGGGAAUAACCCGGUGAAAGUCGGACUAAUACCCUAUAUUCUUCUUUCUCCGCAUGGAGGAGGACGGAAAGAUUUAUUGAUUACAGAUGGGCAUGCGUCCCAUUAGCUAGUUGGUAAGGUAACGGCUUACCAAGGCAACGAUGGGUAGAGGGACUGAGAGGUUGACCCCCCACACUGGUACUGAGACACGGACCAGACUCCUACGGGAGGCAGCAGUGAGGAAUAUUGGUCAAUGGGCGAGAGCCUGAACCAGCCAAGUCGCGUGAAGGACGACGGUUCUAUGGAUUGUAAACUUCUUUUGUAGAGGAAUAACGGCAGCUACGUGUAGCUGAGAUGCAUGUA